rnacentral:rRNA from 1 species
UCAAGCUACAAAGAGCACAAGGGGAAUGCCUUGGCAUCGGGAGCCGAAGAAGGACGCGACUAACUGCGAUAAGCUACGGGGAGCCGUAAGUAGGCAUUGAUCCGUAGAUUUCCGAAUGGAGCAAUCCGGCUAGAGUCAUGUCUAGUCAUCAUAUACUGAAUAAAAUAGGUGUAUGAGGGGAACCGCCUGAACUGAAACAUCUAAGUAGGGCGAGGAAAAGAAAUCAACCGAGAUUCCGCUAGUAGUGGCGAGCGAACGCGGAAGAGGCCAAACCGAGAGUAGUAAUACUUUCGGGGUUAGGACAGAAAUGUGUACACAGAGGUUUAGCAGAAUUGUAUGGGAAGGCAAACCAAAGAGAGUGAAAGUCUCGUAUGCGAAAAACUGAAGUGGCUAUCUGAAUCCAGAGUACCGCCGGACACGAGGAAUCCGGUGGGAAUACGGGGGGACCAUCCUCCAAGCCUAAAUACUAACCGAUGACCGAUAGAGAAGAGUACCGUGAGGGAAAGGUGAAAAGCACCCCGGGAGGGGAGUGAAAGAGAACCUGAAACCUUGUGCUUACAAGCACCGAGAGCCCGUCAAAGGGUGAUCGGGUACCUAUUGUAGAAUGGUCCGGCGAGUGAAUGUUACUGGCGAGGUUAAGCACCUAAGGUGUGGAGCCAAAGCGAAAGCAAGUCUGAAUAGGGCGAUUUUAAGUCAGUAGUAUUCGACCCGAAACCGGGUGACCUACCCAUGUCCAGGUUGAAGUGGAGGUAAAACUCCAUGGAGGACCGAACCGACUCCCGUUGAAAUGGUAGCGGAUGAGGUGUGGGUAGCGGAGAAAUUCCAAUCGAACCCGGAGAUAGCUGGUUCUCUCCGAAAUAGCUUUAGGGCUAGCCUCGGAAUAGAUUACUGGAGGUAAAGCACUGAAUGGGCUAGGGGCCGAGAGGUUACUGAACCCUAUCAAACUAAGAAUGCCAGAUAAUUGUUUUCCGGGAGUCAGACGGCGUGAGAUAAGUUUCGUCGUCAAAAGGGAAAGAGCCCAGACCCACAGCUAAGGUCCCAAAGUAUAGUUAAGUGGAAAAGGAUGUGGGGUUGCCCAGACAACCAGGAUGUUGGCUUAGAAGCAGCCACUCAUUAAAAGAGUGCGUAAUAGCUCACUGGUCGAGUGACCCUGCGCCGAAAAUUCAACGGGGCUAAAUUAUACACCGAAGCUUGGGAUACCGCAAGGUAUGGUAGGAGAGCGUUCUGUAAGGAGUGAAGUGAGAGCGAAAGCGUUCGUGGACUUUACAGAAGUGAGAAUGCCGGAAUGAGUAGCGAGAAAUAUGUGAGAAUCAUAUUGGCCGAAAGUCUAAGGUUUUUGGAGGAAGGUUCGUCCGCUCCAAGUAAGUCGGGAGCUAAGGUGAGGCCUAACGGCGUAGCCGAUGCACAUACGGUAGAUAUUCCGUAACCACCGAAAGAUUUAAACACAGGGACACCUUGAAAGGGCAUAUCCCGGGAGUUGGUUUACCCGGGCGUAAGGGAUCGAAAUUUGAGUAGAGAAGUAUGUUUGGACGAGGGCGAGAAAAGCUGUGCGUAUAUUUUAGGUGCCCGUACCGCAAACCGACACAGGUGGACAGGAAGAGGAUUCUAAGGCCAACGGGAGAAGGGUAAUUAAGGAACUCGGCAAAUUGACCCCGUAACUUAGGGAUAAGGGGUGCUCAUAGAAAUAUGAGCCGCAGAGAAUAGGCCCAGGCAACUGUUUAUCAAAAACACAGGUCUCUGCCAAAUCGAAAGAUGAAGUAUAGGGGCUGACACCUGCCCGGUGCUGGAAGGUUAAGAGGAGGAGUGAGAGCUCCGAAUUGAAGCCCCAGUAAACGGCGGCCGUAACUAUAACGGUCCUAAGGUAGCGAAAUUCCUUGUCGGGUAAGUUCCGACCCGCACGAAUGGUGUAAUGAUCUGGGCACUGUCUCAAUUACCCGCCCGGCGAAAUUGUAGUACCGGUGAAGAUGCCGGUUACCCGCGACAAGACGGAAAGACCCCAUGGAGCUUUACUGCAGCUUGAUAUUGGGUUUCGGUAAUCUAUGUACAGGAUAGGCGGGAGACUAGGAAGUAAAGGCGCCAGCUUUUACGGAGUCGCCCUUGGGAUACCGCUCUUAGAUUGCUGGAAUUCUAACCUGCGGCCAUGAAACUGGUCGGGGAACAUUGUCAGGCGGGCAGUUUGACUGGGGCGGUCGCCUCCUAAAGAGUA